GUGCUUGCUUCGGCAGCACAUAUACUAAAAAAUUGGAACGAUACAGAGAAGAUUAGGAUGGGCCCUGAGCAAGGAUGACACCCAAAUUCAUGAAGCAUUAUUUUU
rnacentral:snRNA from 1 species